AUUGAACGCUGGCGGAAUGCUUUACACAUGCAAGUCGAACGGUAGAGGGGGCAACCCCUUGAGAGUGGCGAACGGGUGAGUAAUAUAUCGGAACGUGCCCAGUCGUGGGGAUAACGUAGCGAAAGUUACGCUAAUACCGCAUACGAUCUAAGGAUGAAAGCGGGGGAUCGCAAGACCUCGCGCGAUUGGAGCGGCCGAUAUCAGAUUAGGUAGUUGGUGGGGUAAAGGCUCACCAAGCCAACGAUCUGUAGCUGGUCUGAGAGGACGACCAGCCACACUGGAACUGAGACACGGUCCAGACUCCUACGGGAGGCAGCAGUGGGGAAUUUUGGACAAUGGACGCAAGUCUGAUCCAGCCAUUCCGCGUGCAGGAUGAAGGCCCCUCGGGGUUGUAAACUUGCUUUUGUACGGAACGAAAAGGUUUCUAUUAAUACUAGGAGCUCAUGACGGUACCGUAAGAAUAAGCACCGGCUAACUACGUGCCAGCAGCCGCGGU
rnacentral:rRNA from 1 species